rnacentral:misc_RNA from 1 species
AAGUCGUAACAAGGUUUCCGUAGGUGAACCUGCGGAAGGAUCAUUAACAUAUUCCAUUCCACGCGUCUUGAGGAGCCGUUAACUGACCCCUUCACGGGGACGGGACACGUCUCUCUCAUUUAAAAGACAACACUUUAUUAACCUUUGACAAACAACCAUCAGUUCUCUUAUUGAGAGUUCUGUUUUCAUAAUACAAUUUGAAAAACAACUUUUAACAAUGGAUCUCUUGGCUCUU